rnacentral:rRNA from 1 species
UACGAGGGGGGCGAGCGUUGUUCGGAAUUAUUGGGCGUAAAGGGUGCGUAGGCGGUUUUGUAAGUCUUAUGUGAAAUCUACAGGCUCAACUUGUAGUCUGCAUGAGAAACUGCAGGGCUUGAGUAUGGGAGAGGUGAGUGGAAUUCCUGGUGUAGCGGUGAAAUGCGUAGAUAUCAGGAGGAACACCUGUGGCGAAAGCGGCUCACUGGACCAUAACUGACGCUGAUGCACGAAAGCUAGGGGAGCAACCAGG